AUCCAACUGACAGGUCUCAAAUAGGACGAAAUGCACAUCCUGGAU
rnacentral:hammerhead_ribozyme from 1 species